CCUACGGGGGGCAGCAGUAGGGAAUAUUGGGCAAUGGGCGCAAGCCUGACCCAGCAACGCCGCGUGAAGGAAGAAGGCUCUCGGUUUGUAAACCUCUUUUAGCAGGGACGAAACAAAUGACGGUACUUGAUGAAUAAGCCACGGCUAACUACGUGCCAGCAGCCGCGGUAAUACGUAGGUGGCAAGCGUUAUCCGGAUUUACUGGGUGUAAAGGGCGCGUAGGCGGUACUGCAAGUCAGAUGUGAAAGCCAUGGGCUCAACCCCGGGACUGCCUUUGAAACUGUAGUUCUUGAGUGUAGGAGAGGCAGGCGGAAUUCCGGGUGUAGCGGUGAAAUGCGUAGAUAUACGGAGGAACACCAGUGGCGAAGGCGGCCUACUGGACUAUAACUGACGCUGAGGCGCGAAAGCGUGGGGAGCAAACAGGAUUAGAUACCCGAGUAGUC
rnacentral:rRNA from 1 species